rnacentral:misc_RNA from 1 species
AAUUAUAAGUAAAAUCAAUAUCUAUUCACGGUACUUCACAAGUCACUGCAGCGGUUGGGUGGAGGAGGAAGACUGGUCUGGCUCACCUACGCCAAUUCCGAUGCUUGGAAUGCGUCUGGGGCAUCUGCAAAUGAUGGGGAGGACCGCAAUUUCAAUCCGAUUCUGAAACGGUUCCAGCAGCUUGUCUAUCCGAAUCGAAAUUGUAGAUCCGGGCGCUAGUUGAAUUUUCACAAAACGAAAGUACCUACGCGAAGCCCAUACAACCAGGGGUUAGAAUAUAAUUUUUUGCAAAAAUAAAUAAGCUCAUUUAAAGCCUGAAAAAACAAUGUGAAGUCCGUGGGACCCAUUGGAUUUUCAGUAUCAGAAAAUUUUGAAAUUUAU